UUAAAUUGAAGAGUUUGAUCAUGGCUCAAAUUGAACGCUGGCGGCAGGCCUAACACAUGCAAGUCGAAC
rnacentral:rRNA from 1 species